rnacentral:rRNA from 1 species
ACACAUGCAAGUCGAGCGGAGACAGUGAGUAGCUUGCUAUGAGCUGUUUUAGCGGCGGACGGGUGAGUAACGCGUGAGCAACCUUUCCCAGACAGGGGAAUAACACACCGAAAGGUGUACUAAUACCGCAUAAGACCACGGGAUCACAUGGUUCUGGGGUAAAAGAUUUAUCGGUUUGGGGUGGGCUCGCGUCCGAUUAGGUAGUUGGUGAGGUAACGGCCCACCAAGCCGACGAUCGGUAGCCGACCUGAGAGGGUGAUCGGCCACAUUGGGACUGAGACACGGCCCAAACUCCUACGGGAGGCAGCAGUGGGGAAUAUUGGGCAAUGGGGGGAACCCUGACCCAGCAACGCCGCGUGGAGGAAGAAGGUUUUCGGAUCGUAAACUCCUGUCCUUGGAGACGAGUAGAAGACGGUAUCCAAGGAGGAAGCCCCGGCUAACUACGUGCCAGCAGCCGCGGUAAUACGUAGGGGGCAAGCGUUGUCCGGAAUAAUUGGGCGUAAAGGGCGCGUAGGCGGCUCGGUAAGUCUGGAGUGAAAGUCCUGCUUUUAAGGUGGGAAUUGCUUUGGAUACUGUCGGGCUUGAGUGCAGGAGAGGUUAGUGGAAUUCCCAGUGUAGCGGUGAAAUGCGUAGAGAUUGGGAGGAACACCGGUGGCGAAGGCGACUAACUGGACUGUAACUGACGCUGAGGCGCGAAAGUGUGGGGAGCAAACAGGAUUAGAUACCCUGGUAGUCCACACUGUAAACGAUGAAUGCUAGGUGUAGGGGG